rnacentral:tRNA from 2 species
GGUCCCAUCGUCUAGUGGCCUAGGACACUGGCCUCUCACGCCAGAAACACGGGUUCGAAUCCCGUUGGGAUCA